rnacentral:rRNA from 1 species
CCUACGGGGGGCUGCAGUGAGGAAUAUUGGUCAAUGGACGAGAGUCUGAACCAGCCAUGUAGCGUGAAGGAUGACUGCCCUAUGGGUUGUAAACUUCUUUUUUACGGGAGUAAAUUGUUAUACGUGUGGGAUUUUGUAAGUAUCAUACGAAUAAGGAUCGGCUAACUCCGUGCCAGCAGCCGCGGUAAUACGGAGGAUCCGAGCGUUAUCCGGGUUUAUUGGGUGUAAGGGUAGCGUAGGUGGGUUGAGAAGUCAGUUGUGAAAGUUUGCGGCUCAACUGUAAAAUUGCAGUUGAUACUGGCAGUCUUGAGUACAGUAGAGGUGGGCGGAAUUCGUGGUGUAGCGGUGAAAUGCUUAGAGAUCACGAAGAACUCCGAUUGCGAAGGCAGCUCACUAGACUGCAACUGACACUGAGGCUCGAAAGUGUGGGGAGCAAACAGGAUUAGAUACCCGAGUAGUC